GACGAACGCUGGCGGCGUGCUUAACACAUGCAAGUCGAACGAUGAAGCCGGAGCUUGCUCUGGUGAAUUAGUGGCGAACGGGUGAGUAACACGUGACUAACCUGCCCCUUUCUCUGGGAUAACGCUCCGAAAGGAGUGCUAAUACCGGAUACUCACACCGAGGCACAUGCCUUGGUGUGGACAGUUUUUCGGAAAGGGAUGGAGUCGCGGCCUAUCAGCUUGUUGGUGAGGUAACGGCUCACCAAGGCGACGACGGGUAGCCGGCCUGAGAGGGCGACCGGCCACACUGGGACUGAGACACGGCCCAGACUCCUACGGGAGGCAGCAGUGGGGAAUAUUGCACAAUGGGCGCAAGCCUGAUGCAGCGACGCCGCGUGAGGGAUGAAGGUCUUCGGAUUGUAAACCUCUUUCAGUAGGGACGAGGCGAAAGUGACGGUACCUAAAGAAGAAGCACCGGCUAACUACGUGCCAGCAGCCGCAGUAA
rnacentral:rRNA from 1 species